rnacentral:lncRNA from 1 species
CCCUUGUUCCCCACCCCCCAGUUCCCCGCACCUAACAUUCACACUCACGCCCCCGGGGGUGCGGCCGCCACGUGGGAGAGAGGCGCGGGGGUGGCCUGGGAACCGCACCCCGCUUUUCUCUCCCCACUCUCUGCGUGGGCCCUGCUAGCCACAGGCAGUGGCGACCCCCAAGAUAGACCCACGGCCAUGAGCAACGAACCCGGGAGAGUGCAGAUAACUCUUUCUGGGCAAGGCAGGAGAAGGAGGCUCAGAGUCUCUUCCUCGGUUCCCCUGUCCAGGGGAUCAGGGCUGGCUCUGGGAGGCGCUCAGGUUCCCCCUGAAGCUGCUCAGCCCCGCGGCUCCUCCUCUCGGAGAGGCCGUUGCUCUGCUCCGGGACUGGUCCUCCCCAUGCAUCUCUAGUCCCUGCAGUACAGAGCUGAGAGGUAGAACCGCGGUCCGGUUCCUGAGCCCCCGGCACGGGAUCCGGGCUCGUUGUGGACUCGGCUCGGCUUUACUUAUCCCCGCCCUGACCCGCGCUCUCCUUUCCUGAGGGCCCACCCAUCUCGAUCCUCGGCCACUCCGGUUCCGAUCUGGGGCCUUCUGGCUCCCCGGAAAAGGCGAGGCAGGCAGACGGGGAGGGUGCAAAACGCAAAGUGCUGGAGCUAUGUGCCAGACAGAGCCAGAACCGGGGUUUCCAGGCCCGGCCAAGCUGGGCUGGGGCUCGAUCUCUUCCGUCUCUCGACUAAGUCAGCCCCACCGCUGCAGCCCAGGCUGUCAGAUGGCUGUGCUCCUGAGGCCCUGCCCUUUUGAUGCUAUGAGGCAGGACCCUCCUGUUGGGGGGACAUUACGGGGAAGAAGGAAGGAUCCCAGAGCAGCAAUGACAGCCUGGAAUUAUUGCCAGAUACAUGGCCCCCAUUACAUCUCUGCCUAGAAAACAGAACCUUUUUUUUUUUGUUGAAGGAGCUGUUCCUUCAUGAAAUCUUCCCUGAUAACCUUGGUCUAUGCAUUUUUUCUCAGGGAGUGGCAUGCUAGCAAAAGUUUAACAACAGGCUCUCUGAAAACACAUGCUUUAAAAUUUAAUCUGAAUUGUAUACACUUUCUCCAUCACUCCCUGAAGUCCGGACAAUCAAUAAAAC